rnacentral:rRNA from 1 species
GGUACAGUUUGUACAGGAUAGGUAGGAGCCUUAGAAGCGUGAGCGCUAGCUUACGUGGAGGCAUUGGUGGGAUACUACCCUAAUUGUAUUGGAUUUCUAACCCGCAGCACUUAUCGUGCUGGGAGACAGUGUCAGGCGGGCAGUUUGACUGGGGCGGUCGCCUCCUAAAGAGUAACGGAGGCGCUCAAAGGUUCCCUCAGAAUGGUUGGAAAUCAUUCAUAGAGUGUAAAGGCAUAAGGGAGCUUGACUGCGAGACCUACAAGUCGAGCAGGGUCGAAAGACGGACUUAGUGAUCCGGUGGUUCCGCAUGGAAGGGCCAUCGCUCAACGGAUAAAAGCUACCCCGGGGAUAACAGGCUUAUCUCCCCCAAGAGUUCACAUCGACGGGGAGGUUUGGCACCUCGAUGUCGGCUCAUCGCAUCCUGGGGCUGUAGUCGGUCCCAAGGGUUGGGCUGUUCGCCCAUUAAAGCGGUACGCGAGCUGGGUUCAGAACGUCGUGAGACAGUUCGGUCCCUAUCCGUCGUGGGCGUAGGAAAUUUGAGAGGAGCUGUCCUUAGUACGAGAGGACCGG